rnacentral:rRNA from 1 species
GAUGAACGCUGGCGGCGUGCCUAAUACAUGCAAGUCGAGCGAACAGACGAGGAGCUUGCUCCUCUGACGUUAGCGGCGGAAGGGUGAGUAACACGUGGAUAACCUACCUAUAAGACUGGGAUAACUUCGGGAAACCGGAGCUAAUACCGGAUAAUAUAUUGAACCGCAUGGUUCAAUAGUGAAAGACGGUUUUGCUGUCACUUAUAGAUGGAUCCGCGCCGCAUUAGCUAGUUGGUAAGGUAACGGCUUACCAAGGCAACGAUGCGUAGCCGACCUGAGAGGAUGAUCGGCCACACUGGAACUGAGACACGGUCCAGACUCCUACGGGAGGCAGCAGUAGGGAAUCUUCCGCAAUGGGCGAAAGCCUGACGGAGCAACGCCGCGUGAGUGAUGAAGGUCUUCGGAUCGUAAACCUCUGUUAUUAGGGAAGAACAAAUGUGUAAGUAACUAUGCACGUCUUGACGGUACCUAAUCAGAAAGCCACGGCUAACUACGUG